rfam:Penicillium coprophilum strain IBT 31321 PENCOP_contig007, whole genome shotgun sequence.
ACUGACUUUCUUCCAACAGUUCAAAGAAUCACUUUAGAGUAGACGUCCCCUUUCUAAACUCUUUAAAAGAGCCACAGAAUCUCCACCCUUGCUGAUGACUACAUGUCCUCGAUGCCCUAAAGUGAAACCUUAUUUACUCCCGCCUCGACUGUCACGCGUGCUGUCCGCAGUGUCUGUGUUUCGGUCCAGGGAGUGGUGAUGAUCUUGACCUGGUCUCGGCGUCUGACUUCGGUCGGUCGGUCCUGGUGGGUGUCGAGGAGGUCUGAAAGGU